UACGGAGGGUGCAAGCGUUAUCCGGAUUUACUGGGGUUAAAGGGCUCGUAGGCGGCCAACUAAGUCCGACGUGAAAUCCCAAAGCUUAACUUUGGAACUGCGUCGGAUACUGGAUGGCUUGAAUUCGGGAGAGGGAUGCAGAAUUCCAGGUGUAGCGGUGAAAUGCGUAGAUAUCUGGAGGAAUACCGGUGGCGAAGGCGGCAUCCUGGACCGACAUUGACGCUGAGGAGCGAAAGCUAGGGGAGCAAACGGG
rnacentral:rRNA from 1 species